rnacentral:rRNA from 1 species
AAAUGAAUAGACGGGGGCCCGCACAAGCGGUGGAGUAUGUUGUUUAAUUCGAAGCAACGCGAAGAACCUUACCAGGUCUUGACAUGGUCCUAAAGGCCCUAGAGAUAGGGAGAUAGUUAUAGGACACACAGGUGGUGCAUGGUUGUCGUCAGCUCGUGUCGUGAGAUGUUGGGUUAAGUCCCGCAACGAGCGCAACCCUUGUCGUUAGUUACCAUCAUUAAGUUGGGGACUCUAGCGAGACUGCCGGUGACAAACCGGAGGAAGGUGGGGAUGACGUCAAAUCAUCAUGCCCCUUAUGACCUGGGCUACAAACGUACUACAAUGGCGAGAACAACGGGAAGCAAUGUGGUGACACAAAGCGAAUCUCUUAAAACUCGUCUCAGUUCGGAUCGAAGUCUGCAACUCGACUUCGUGAAGUUGGAAUCGCUAGUAAUCGCGGAUCAGCAUGCCGCGGUGAAUACGUUCUCGGGCCUUGUACACACCGCCCGU